rnacentral:lncRNA from 1 species
CAGUUGGUUGUUUUUUUGAGCGUGUACACUUGUAUGUGUCCGUGUGUGUCCGUGUGUCUCCCAGAGGUCAAGCUAUCUAUCCCAGAAACAGGCCAGAGGUCAAUAGGAAUGUUCUUCACACACUCCGCCCUCAGAACCAGAGUUACAGACAUGGAGAAGCCCCACGUGGAGGUUGGGAAGCAAGCCUGGGUCCUUGGAAGAGCAGCCAGUGCUCUUAAGUGCUAAGCCCCCUCCUUUAGCCCGGCACUGUCUUCUUUCUCUGUUUACUGUUUUUACUCUAGAGUGUGAGGCAGCGUCUCUCACGGAACAGCUCUUGCACUGGCUCGAUUGACUGGCCAGUGGGCCCAGCAGGCCUCCUGCCUUUGCCUCUCCAGUGCUGGGAUCACAGGUGCCGUCUGUG